rnacentral:rRNA from 1 species
UGGGAACGUACCCUUUGGUUCGGAACAACCCAGGGAAACUUGGGCUAAUACCGGAUAAGUCCGUAAGGAGGAAGAUUUAUCGCCAAAGGAUCGGCCCGCGUCUGAUUAGCUAGUUGGUAGAGUAAUGGCCUACCAAGGCUACGAUCAGUAGCUGGUCUGAGAGGAUGAUCAGCCACAUUGGGACUGAGACACGGCCCAAACUCCUACGGGAGACAG